GGACAAUUCCAAAUGAAGGCCUUAAAUGAUGCUCAGCUAAGCUGGUUCUUGUGUGGCCUCUGUACCUUCAAAAGCUGCCGAGUCCUAUGAUUACACGUGAUGGGACUUGUACACUUGAAGUGAAACACAGUUUUAAAACUUGCUUUGUUUAGAAUUCCCACCUCAUUUUUCCAUGGACAAAAGUAUUCUUUAUGUCCUAGUGCACUUACAAUUUGGUAUUACCUGGGAGUGAAAAGAAAUAUUACAGCCAUGCCCAACUGACUUCUUGAGAUUUGGAGCAGGGUGGUCACACUGACCUUGCAGAGUUCUGAGAAUCAGAGACAGAACAUAAAAGGCCUGGAAAACAUUCUCCAAAAAGAAGCUGCAACAUGUGUGGACAAUGG
rnacentral:lncRNA from 10 species